rnacentral:misc_RNA from 1 species
UUGCUUUUCAUUUUGGUUUUUUGUACAUCAGACUUCAGAUUCUCGUUGCAGAGUAAAACAAUUACGGCCGGCGGCGGGCAGGUCGAGCCUACCUCUUCCGCCGAAGUUAAGGUUCGUCAAGGCAGCAGCGGCAAACGCGGGCCGUUCCGGAUCCCACCCUCUCGGGUGCCAUCCGUCCCAAGCCACACGCAAAAACCAACCACCGUUCUUCCCCAACGUGCACAUGACAAUAGGUCGGGUAUCCCCAGCUUGCGCCAGGAAUCCUCAGUAAUGAUCCUUCCGCAGGUUCACCUACGGAAA